GGAGAGCUGGGCUUCGAGGCGUCAGUGUGAAGGGAAGGCUAAGGACGCAUCGGUGCUGGAGAGUUGAGAAUAUGCCUUCCCCUCCACCCCCAACCCAGUCACCUUAUUUGAAAAAAAAUUAAAAAACACCUUUUAUUUAAAAACCUAACCCUGGAAGUUUGCUCGGGAAGGCAUUCUCUUCCUCUUCCUCCAGCUGCCUGAAAAUCAUAUGCGUGGUUUUUCCUGUUUCCUGCUCUGUAGCUGACAUCAGGGGAGCAAAGUGAACACAGGAAAAUGGAAAUCAACAUUUGAAACUUUUAAAUGGAAGCUUUAUUGGGGUUCCACAUAUGGAAAACUGCAAAUAGCAGAAGUAUGUGACUCAAUACAUUAUUCUGGAGUGACCACAUCCUCUAACUACCUCCUAGGACAAGAAGGAGAAUGUGAACAAUGCUCCUGAAGGCCCCUUUCCCUCAAAGAAUCACUGCAAUUGAAGGAAAAAUGCUCCAUGUCCCCUAUGCCAGUUGGUGUUUAUCAAAGGACAACGGAGGAGGAGAGACAAAGUGCCUGGAUGUGUGUGUUAAUCAAGAGUUGUCAGGACCCUGCCUCUAAAAGAAAGCGCUAAAAUGAUGCUUUUGACAAGACUUUUCUCAAAAUGGAUGCAGUCUAAGGGUUGGAAAACAAGGCCCAAUCAGGCUAGGUCUGACUUGUCGCCUGCUUUUGUAAAUAAAGUUUUAUUGGCUCAC
rnacentral:antisense_RNA from 1 species